rnacentral:rRNA from 1 species
UACGUAGGGUGCAAGCGUUGUCCGGAAUUAUUGGGCGUAAAGCGUGCGCAGGCGGUUCGCUAAGACAGAUGUGAAAUCCCCGGGCUUAACCUGGGAACUGCAUUUGUGACUGGCGGGCUAGAGUAUGGCAGAGGGGGGUAGAAUUCCAGGUGUAGCGGUGAAAUGCGUAGAUAUCUGGAGGAAUACCGGUGGCGAAGGCGGCAUCCUGGACCGAUAUUGACACUGAGGAGCGAAAGCUAGGGGAGCAAACGGG